rnacentral:rRNA from 1 species
CUGGCUCAGGACGAACGCUGGCGGCGUGCUUAACACAUGCAAGUCGAACGAUGAACCUGGAGCUUGCUCUAGGGGAUUAGUGGCGAACGGGUGAGUAACACGUGAGUAACCUGCCCUUGACUCUGGGAUAACCUCCGGAAACGGAAGCUAAUACCGGAUAUGACGCACGGAGGCAUCUCCUGUGCGUGGAAAGAACUUCGGUCAAGGAUGGACUCGCGGCCUAUCAGGUAGUUGGUGAGGUAACGGCCCACCAAGCCUACGACGGGUAGCCGGCCUGAGAGGGUGACCGGCCACACUGGGACUGAGACACGGCCCAGACUCCUACGGGAGGCAGCAGUGGGGAAUAUUGCACAAUGGGCGCAAGCCUGAUGCAGCAACGCCGCGUGAGGGAUGACGGCCUUCGGGUUGUAAACCUCUUUUAGUAGGGAAGAAGCGAAAGUGACGGUACCUGCAGAAAAAGCACCGGCUAACUACGUGCCAGCAGCCGCGGUAAUACGUAGGGUGCGAGCGUUGUCCGGAAUUAUUGGGCGUAAAGAGCUCGUAGGCGGUCUGUCGCGUCUGCUGUGAAAACCCGAGGCUCAACCUCGGGCCUGCAGUGGGUACGGGCAGACUAGAGUGCGGUAGGGGAGAAUGGAAUUCCUGGUGUAGCGGUGGAAUGCGCAGAUAUC